UUGAAUAGAAAAUAUGAGAUAUUGUUGGACUUUAAUUAAUUACAUGAAGCAUCGCUUCAGACAAAACAUUUUGUGUUGUUUAAAGGCACCACUUGAGUCAACAUAUGCGUUGAUCAAAGGCAUCAUUUGAGUGAAUAUAUAAAGCCAUCAAGUGUCAUACGAAGAAAAAACCAAAAUCAUUUUGAUUCAAUAUAGUUUGAUAGGGUCUCUGUACAGGGUGUUGUAAAGACAUCGACAGUUGGAUCCUUAAGCUAGACGUCCUAAAACUACACACAACAUUGUAGGAGAAAAAUUAUGUCUUAGGAGAUUACUUAAGUAAGCCUCUAUCAAUCUACGAUUGGUUAAGUUGUGAAAGAAAGAAAGGUAAUUAACUAGUUAAAUCUAACAAUACUAAAAGUUCUAAAUCUUCAAUAGAGAGAGUGUCCACGUAGGACUAAAAAAUCAGCCAAUCAGAAACUGUUAUUUGGCCACGUCAGUGCUGCUCCUGUCGACAGAAGAUCAAAACUGGUUCUUCAUUUGGGCUGUCUUUCCAUUUUAAACGGCCCAGAUAGAACCCAAUCUCGCCACCCUAAUUUCGACUGACGUGUAGAGACUAGAGAGUUCAUCUUCCCGACUCUUCCACUUCACCUUCACGGUCUAGGUUGCUCUGUAUCUCCAUUACCACUUGUUCCUCUUCAUCAAUCAGUUAUUUAAUCUCUUCUUUAUUGUUUCAUUCUUAAGUCUCACCAUCAAUACGGAACGAACUAAUCUCUUCUCCUCCCUAUUUUCACACAGUAAAAUCCCGUCUAGUUCUCUGAGUGAACUCCUACUAAACUUACUCGCUUCAUAACUCACCCCCAAAUCCAUUCCUAACAAAACGUCGACUCUGAUAUGGAGAACGACUUAGCAAGUGACAGAGAAAUCAGCGUUGAGAGCGAUGUAGUAGGCGCCGGCGAGAUCGAGAUGAAGAGCCCAGAUACAAAGCAGGUUGCAAAUCAAAAGAGGAUAUGAGAUACCAUGUGUGCAAUAAGUAUGUUACUACUCUUCGAUUUUCUCAGUGCAUAGAAAGCUUCUUUGACGAUCAUAACAUGGGAUUUAAGCACUCAGAAAUGAGAAACUGCACAGGGUUUCUAUGCUCUCAACGAUACGAAGGCGGCUGGAAGAAGGUAUUUUGUUGGAGGUGGAUGCAAUAUGUUAAGUUUAGCAUCACAAGUGGAUGCCAUUGACAAGACUUUAGCAAACGAUUAAGUUGGAGCUGACGAAAGCAUUGAGCUACCCGUUUGAAUGAAUUGCCAAGAAUGCUGGUGUUAAUGGUAGCGUUGUCAGUGUUAAAGUAGAAAAAAUGGUGCUGGCGAGCAACAAACUGAAACACGGUUACAACGAUCUAAUGUCAGCAGGAAUCAUCGAUCGAACCAAAGUGAAAAAAAAAAAAUCCAUGCUUUAUCGCAGACUAAAAUUUCUCAUUUUGUCAUGCUAACCAAGUGUUUUUUCUAUAGCAUAUGCUUCAUCCGCUAAGACAUACAGUUAUGUUUAGACCAAUGAAUCUGAAUCAGCAGCUCUGCUGGUAACUCUAUGGACAGUUCAGGAAAUAUCUGAAAUAACCAAGCUCGAAACACUCACAAUGGCGAGAUCCUUGCCUCUGUUAGGAUUGAAACAGCUCAGGACCCUUUUUCAAUUGCUUUGCAAAAAUUGACGAUCUAGAGAAGGAAUCAGGCUGGUAAUAUAUUGCCCGCAUUGGCUGCCAAACAAAAGUAAACAAGGGUCCUGCGUUAUUGAUGUUCUCAAAAUGGGGUGCUGACAAUGCUGCUGGUAUGGUAAAGUAAUUUCACACGUCCGUCUACGAUAAUGACAAGAAGGAAACAUUUUUGUGCUGCUUGGUGACGCCGGUGAAUACCUCACGGGAAGACAAGCCUCUGAUUUACUUGACAUGUAUCUGGAGUAGAGACUUGAUUCUGGUCAAGAAAUGGCAACUCCUCAAUGCCUGGUCAACUCCAUCGGCCAGACUCACAAAUUCAAGGUGAAAGUAACACCAUACAACUUCACAGCCAAAAGACAGAUUAUUACCGCCACCAGGGUGUCUGUCCUGCAGUACCCCCACCUCCUAAUCCUACAAGGCUACACUGGAAAUCCCCAUCGCAGCUUAAGAUGUACCUGACAAACUCAUUGCCAAGAAUGAUGUCAACAACUCAUCCCAACAACAAAGAUGUAGCCAGUGUUUUAUGGUGAGUUAAGUUCAUCAACCAAGGACGAGGACCAGAAAGUGAAACAAAACGUCCUGGGUGUUGUGCCUAGGAUCUCAGCCCCUCCACGUACCGACCCAGUUGGAAUCCUUGGAGACCAUUGCGACGUCCAAAAUCGUCCAGUUGUAAUCAAAAGAAGUGCAAAAAAAAAGUGUUUCAACAAUAAAACAUAUGCCUCGGUUAGAAACCUAGCAAACCAAAUAAAACGAACACUGAUUAUUUAAAAUAAAGGUUUAUAUAAAUA